ACUUGAAUAGCUUAUUUAGAGCGCGACACUGAAGAUGUCGAUGAGGUACAUCGUUGCCUUUGAGUA
rnacentral:tRNA from 1 species